CCUACGGGAGGCAGCAGUGGGGGAUAUUGCACAAUGGGGGGAACCCUGAUGCAGCGACGCCGCGUGGGUGAAGGAGCGUUUCGGCGCGUACAGCCCUAUCGGCAGGGAAGAAGGAGGACGGUACCUGACUAAGAAGCCCCGGCUAACUACGUGCCAGCAGCCGCGGUAAUACGUAGGGGGCAAGCGUGAUCCGGAUUUACUGGGUGUCAAGGGGGCGCAGACGGCAGCGCAAGCAAGGAGUGAAAGCCCGGGGCCCAACCCCGGGACUGCGCUUGGAACUGCGCGGCUGGAGGGCAGGAGGGGCAGGCGGAAUUACUGGUGGAGCGGUGAAAUGCGUAGAUAUCAGGAGGAACACCGGUGGCGAAGGCAUCUCACGAAUCCGCGAUUGACGCUGAUGCACGAAAGCGUGGGUAUCAAACAGGAUUAGAUACCCUUGUAGUC
rnacentral:rRNA from 1 species